GAGAUUCAAUGCCCUCUUGGCUUUUAAGAGGUACAUCUGAUAUUCCUCCUUUGCUUACACACAGGCCUGAGACAGGUGGCAGAGCAGUCACUAGAGGAGGAGGAGGCAGGCAGGCAGGCAGGCAUCAGCCAGAGAACACAAAAAUUUGGGAGAACCAUACCCUGACCCUCAUCAGCAGCCUCUGUACAAGCUCCUCAGAAACAGAAGGGAUGAGGCGAUCCAUGCAUUAGGACAGAGCCUCCACGGAGGAAGCUGGCCCCUUGACCUUUGCUGUGGCCACUCAGGCCCUGCCUUCUUGCAGAGGCCAAAGAGAAGUCCGAGGAAGAAUACACGCCAAGGCUGCAGUGCAGGCAGUGGGAGUUGAGGAGGGAGUCCAGACUCCUUCUGCAGAGAUUGUCCGUUCCUGCCCUCACAGAAUGUGCAGCAGGUGUACACAACCACAGGGACACACUGGUUUAUUAGUGGAAGAGGUCAAAAGGCAAACCAUAUUCCAUGUGAGGAGGGGAGUGAUGGAAAAAUGGGAUUGUAUAUAAUAAUGACUUGACAAAAGAAAGAUUUUUUUGCGUGUCUAAUUCAUUUUCCUGGGGUUUUCCCCCCUCAUUUAUCACCUGGAGAUAAAGCUGCUACCAUCAAAAGGAGCCUGCAGUUCCUUUCCCUUGUAAAUAGUUGCCUUAAAAGAAAUCUGCAUUUUAAUGUACAGUAUAUGUAUUUAUAAUUGUUGGACUCCAUUUUCCUUACAGAAGAA